rnacentral:rRNA from 1 species
UACGGAGGGAGCUAGCGUUGUUCGGAAUUACUGGGCGUAAAGCGCACGUAGGCGGCUUUUUAAGUCAGGGGUGAAAUCCCGGGGCUCAACCCCGGAACUGCCCUUGAAACUGGAGAGCUAGAAUCUUGGAGAGGCGAGUGGAAUUCCGAGUGUAGAGGUGAAAUUCGUAGAUAUUGGGAAGAACACCGGUGGCGAAGGCGGCGACCUGGUCCGAUACUGACGCUGAGGCGCGAAAGCGUGGGGAGCAAACAGG